GACGCGAAGGCGUAGAGUAUCGCGCGAAUACUGAACCGUCUGAGAAGUUCCAUGCACAUAAGUUCGCGAUAAUACGAUAUAAGCAGUAUAUUAUAUAGGUUUAAUACGGUGGGAACAACAGUGCGUUUUAAUUCGAUGUCGAACAUCGUCGUCGUCUGAUUAAUUUUUGUCCCCGUCCGUUGUUGCGAUCACGCCUUAUAGAAGAGUUUCAAUGAAGCGUGUUAAGUGAGGAAAAAUCGUGUUUUAGAUUCACACGCAAUAUUGAUCAAUAUUUCCAGUUUAAUUGCAAAAAAUGAACAGUAUUGUCGUCAUAUUAUAAUCACGUUAUAUUACUGAAGGGUUAUAUCUAGGCCAUUCACGUACAAAACACAAAGCGUAGUUAGUACAAUAAUAUAACCGCACUCAAUAAUUGUGUA